GGGCCUAUACAUGCAAGUCGAACGCACUCUCGUUUAGAUUGAAGGAGCUUGCUCCUGAUUGAUAAACAUUUGAGUGAGUGGCGGACGGGUGAGUAACACGUGGGUAACCUGCCCUAAAGUGGGGGAUAACAUUUGGAAACAGAUGCUAAUACCGCAUAAAACCUAACACCGCAUGGUGUAGGGUUGAAAGAUGGUUUCGGCUAUCACUUUAGGAUGGACCCGCGGUGCAUUAGUUAGUUGGUGAGGUAAAGGCUCACCAAGACCGUGAUGCAUAGCCGACCUGAGAGGGUAAUCGGCCACACUGGGACUGAGACACGGCCCAGACUCCUACGGGAGGCAGCAGUAGGGAAUCUUCCACAAUGGACGAAAGUCUGAUGGAGCAACGCCGCGUGAGUGAAGAAGGUUUUCGGAUCGUAAAACUCUGUUGUUGGAGAAGAAUGUAUCUGAUAGUAACUGAUCAGGUAGUGACGGUAUCCAACCAGAAAGCCACGGCUAACUACGUGCCAGCAGCCGCGGUAAUACGUAGGUGGCAAGCGUUGUCCGGAUUUAUUGGGCGUAAAGCGAGCGCAGGCGGUUUCUUAAGUCUGAUGUGAAAGCCUUCGGCUCAACCGAAGAAGUGCAUCGGAAACUGGGAAACUUGAGUGCAGAAGAGGACAGUGGAACUCCAUGUGUAGCGGUGAAAUGCGUAGAUAUAUGGAAGAACACCAGUGGCGAAGGCGGCUGUCUGGUCUGUAACUGACGCUGAGGCUCGAAAGCAUGGGUAGCAAACAGGAUUAGAUACCCUGGUAGUCCAUGCCGUAAACGAUGAGUGCUAGGUGUUGGAGGGUUUCCGCCCUUCAGUGCCGCAGCUAACGCAUUAAGCACUCCGCCUGGGGAGUACGACCGCAAGGUUGAAACUCAAAGGAAUUGACGGGGGCCCGCACAAGCGGUGGAGCAUGUGGUUUAAUUCGAAGCAACGCGAAGAACCUUACCAGGUCUUGACAUCCUUUGACACUCUAGAGAUAGAGCUUUCCCUUCGGGGACAAAGUGACAGGGGUGCAUGGUUGUCGUCAGCUCGUGCCGGGGAAUUU
rnacentral:rRNA from 1 species